AUGAUCUGUCAAGAUCUGCCAUUUGUUCCUGAUGGCUACGCGUUGAGAAAAUUGAUGUCCCUGUCAAGUGUCAAUGCAGAUGCCAGAUGGCAUGUCAGGAGAAGGAAAAAAAAACUUCUGUCUUUUUAUCAGCUACUCCUGUUUUACUUUCUUUACUCUUCAGUGAGGUCGCCGUUGGCUGACGAGGUAAAGAGUGGGAGGAACUGUGCAGUCUUGCUCUGCUUAUUUGGACAUGGGCUCUUCCAGCGUGAGAGGCAGAUUGGGCUGUGCACUCAUGGGCCAAUCACACUCACAUGGCUUGCAGCGUGUGAGGUUUAUGUUUGUCUAAAAUCCUCAUGUUGCUUAAUUAUCAUAUAUUGA
rnacentral:rRNA from 1 species